rnacentral:rRNA from 1 species
GAAUAUUGCACAAUGGAGGGAACUCUGAUGCAGCGACGCCGCGUGAGUGAAGAAGGUUUUCGGAUCGUAAAACUCUGUCCUUGGUGAAGAUAGUGACGGUAGCCAAGGAGGAAGCCCCGGCUAACUACGUGCCAGCAGCCGCGGUAAUACGUAGGGGGCGAGCGUUGUCCGGAUUUACUGGGCGUAAAGGGUGAGUAGGCGGUUAUGUAUGUCAGAUGUAAAAGGCACAGGCUUAACUUGUGUAUGCAUUUGAAACUGCAUAACUUGAGUGCAGGAGAGGUAAGCGGAAUUCCUAGUGUAGCGGUGAAAUGCGUAGAUAUUAGGAGGAACACCGGUGGCGAAGGCGGCUUACUGGACUGUAACCGACGCUGAGUCACGAAAGCGUGGGGAGCAAACA